rnacentral:rRNA from 1 species
AUUGAACGCUGGCGGCAGGCUUAACACAUGCAAGUCGAGCGGAGCGAGGGUGCUUGCACCUUAGCUUAGCGGCGGACGGGUGAGUAAUGCUUAGGAAUCUGCCUAUUAGUGGGGGACAACAUUCCGAAAGGGAUGCUAAUACCGCAUACGCACUACGGGGGAAAGCAGGGGAUCUUCGGACCUUGCGCUGAUAAAUGAGCCUAAGUCGGAUUAGCUAGUUGGUGGGGUAAAGGCCUACCAAGGCGACGAUCUGUAGCGGGUCUGAGAGGAUGGUCCGCCACACUGGGACUGAGACACGGCCCAGACUCCUACGGGAGGCAGCAGUGGGGAAUAUUGGACAAUGGGCGGAAGCCUGAUCCAGCCAUGCCGCGUGUGUGAAGAAGGCCUUUUGGUUGUAAAGCACUUUAAGCGAGGAGGAGGCUACUAGUAUUAAUACUACUGGAUAGUGGACGUUACUCGCAGAAUAAGCACCGGCUAACUCUGUGCCAGCCGCCGCAGUAA